GUGCUCACUUUGGAAACACAUUUACUAAAAUUGGAAUGAUACAGAGAAGAUUAGCAUAGCCUCUGUGCAAGGAUAGAUUUGUGAAGCAUUCUUUAUUUGU
ensembl:snRNA U6 U6 spliceosomal RNA